GCCUUCGUGGUGUAGUGGUCAGCACACUCGGCGCGUAACCGAGAGGUCCGUGGUUCGAUUCCCGGCGAAAGCG
rnacentral:tRNA from 1 species